GAUGAACGCUAGCUACAGGCUAACACAUGCAAGUCGAGGGGAAAAGGCAUUGAGUGCUUGCACUCUUUGGACGUCGACCGGCGCACGGGUGAGUAACGCGUAUCCAACCUUCCCAUUACUGUGGGAUACCCCGCCGAAAGGCAGACUAAUACCACAUAGUCUUCGAUGACGGCAUCAGAUUUGAAGUAAAGAUUUAUCGGUAAUGGAUGGGGAUGCGUCUGAUUAGCUUGUUGGCGGGGUAACGGCCCACCAAGGCGACGAUCAGUAGGGGUUCUGAGAGGAAGGUCCCCCACAUUGGAACUGAGACACGGUCCAAACUCCUACGGGAGGCAGCAGUGAGGAAUAUUGGUCAAUGGACGGAAGUCUGAACCAGCCAAGUAGCGUGCAGGAUGACGGCCCUAUGGGUUGUAAACUGCUUUUGUAUGGGGAUAAAGUUAGGGACGUGUCCCUAUUUGCAGGUACCAUACGAAUAAGGACCGGCUAAUUCCGUGCCAGCAGCCGCGGUAAUACGGAAGGUCCAGGCGUUAUCCGGAUUUAUUGGGUUUAAAGGGAGCGUAGGCUGGAGAUUAAGUGUGUUGUGAAAUGUAGACGCUCAACGUCUGACUUGCAGCGCAUACUGGUUUCCUUGAGUACGCACAACGUUGGCGGAAUUCGUCGUGUAGCGGUGAAAUGCUUAGAUAUGACGAAGAACUCCGAUUGCGAAGGCAGCUGACGGGAGCGCAACUGACGCUUAAGCUCGAAGGUGCGGGUAUCAAACAGG
rnacentral:rRNA from 1 species